rnacentral:lncRNA from 1 species
CUGCCAUUGUCAUCUUCCUCAUCCUCUUCAAUUCCUUUAUGAACUUGCAUCCCCUAGUAAAGCAGGUCCUUGGAGAACUUGACAUCACUCAACUCUAUGCAAAUUAAUCUCACUUUUGCCUGAGUAAUGGAUUAAUCUAAAAACACCAGUAGGUGAAAAAAAUAUAUCUAAAAACACCACUAAAACAUUUCAACAAAGUAAUCACAUUCUCUUGGCAUGAAUUGAACGACAAAUAACUCGCACCAAUAGCCCCGUAUAUAGGCAAUAACACAGAUGAAUGGACAUAAAAAACUGAUUGCUACAUAGAAUGACAAAAAAAAGAAUUUCAAGAACUUAAAGGUUAUGACCAAUGCUCCAAAAUAUUGGCUUAUAAUUGUAUUGAGAUUGAUAUAGGUUUUUCGGAAUAUACUGAAUAUUCAAGAUCUCAUAACAAAAAAAUAAAACUGAUAAGCACUUAGCAGUUGGUCAAACAAAAGAACUGUCACCCUGACUUCUUCCCUAGAAAUACCAAAAUGUACGCAAAUAAUGUAUCAGUAAAUCACUUGAAACCUAUAAGUCAAGACCUUUUUUAGAAAGGAUUCUAGUAAUACAAAAUGUUGCUAUGUCUAAUAAUUAAGAAAUAAUAUUCUAAAAGCAUAUAUAUGGUACAACAAUAUACAUGCACGCUAUUGUGAAGAGGAAAGAGCGAUUAAUUUUGAAGGUACUUGAACAACACUAAAAUAAGCUUGAGAAGCAGUGAGUACCUUCGUGUUUGGUGAAUCAUAACCCGCAUAGAAUACCAGAAAUAAGAG